ensembl:lncRNA
UUUACAUUAAUCACUUUUCUGCAAUGCCUCUUUUUUUAGAAUAAAUCACAUAUUUGGUAAUAUAAAUUCUCAAUAUGCUUUUAUCCUCCAGUAGAUCGUACCAACUAGUAGACUGAUUAUAUAUAUAUACUGGAAGAUUAUUUAACUGAACGGCACUGAGUGGUAAAGAUUCAGCCAUUAUUUGAUCAAAUAAAUGUUUAGUUUCGUUUGGCCAUAUCAGCAAAUGACUAACGUUAAACCCCGCCCCUCUAAAGUCGUCAUUGCUGAUCACGUUCACCUGCGUUCGUUUACGCACACAACGGCGGGAAGCUGCCAGGUGGGCGCAGUGAAAAGUCAGAAGCUAGUUGGGAUAUUGGCAUAAGUACAGUUAUAUAUAACGUUUUUUGGAGGAACCAUCCAUUCUACGAAAAGAACGAUUUUACUUGGUGUAAUUAGAUUGAUGGAUAAUCAUUACGUGAUGUGCAAAUGACCACUUCUUGGAAGCAAGGCCUACAACUGGUAGACUAACCAAGGAACUCUGAAGGCUAAUGUACUGCUGAGUUCAUGUUUAAUGUGUUGGCUUCCAAAUAAACCACUACUACAUCGUUUGACUCAUUAUUUUAUGGCUCCCUGGUUUUGUUAUUUGGCUCUUCGUUAAUAAAUAAAUAAACCUCUUCUUCACAUCAAACUACAUAGUUUGACUGAUUCUUUCACGGCACUCUGGAUUUGUCGCUUUGCUCUUAGAUAGGCUAAAUAGAACGUGAGGGUACGCAAUCGCAUCUAAUUGGUGCCAGGUGAUGUCAUGGUCACAAUGACCUCACCUGGCAUCAAUUUGACCCAAUCAGGAGUAUGAAUUGCUCAAUAUGUGGUAUAUUCUCAGAACUGUUGAUAUUUACGAUAUAUAUUGGCAAACCUUUAUUGACCUUUAACCUGUAUUGAAUAUUUUCAGUGUCCAUGAAUUAACUGGUUUAUUCUAAACACUGGCAUUGCCUAAUAAUUACUCUAUGUGUGUGUGUGUGUGUAUAUAGGCCUAUAUAAUAUUUACAUACAAUUAUGUACAUAUAAAUGCAUAAAUAUGUGUGUAUAUAUGUGUAUGUGUGUAUAUCUAUG